rnacentral:misc_RNA from 1 species
CAACCCUUAAGCCUAGCUGCUUAGCGUUGGGAACUUAGCCUUUAAAGCUAACUCCUUAAAGACAUUGGCAGAGUUGCGGCAUACUCUAAGCGUAGUAAUUUAUUCUCGCUUCUGAAGGUGUCGUGACGAUCGCCACAAACCUCUAUAUUUCUAGU